CUUUCGAGUAGAAGCGGUCAGUGCCGAAAUGGGAUGGGGCAUUGCUCAGGCA
rnacentral:ncRNA from 1 species